GGCUAGCUAUUAACCUGUUGGGCACAUGU
rnacentral:piRNA from 1 species